ACGCUCGACACCUACGGGAGACAGCAGUGGGGAAUAUUGCACAAUGGGGGAAACCCUGAUGCAGCGACGCCGCGUGGAGGAAGAAGGUCUUCGGAUUGUAAACUCCUGUUGUUGGGGAAAAAGAGGAUGGUACCCAACAAGGAAGUGACGGCUAACUACGUGCCUGCAGCCGCGGUAAUCUGAGCGGGCUGGCAAGGC
rnacentral:rRNA from 1 species